rnacentral:rRNA from 1 species
CCGUGCAAAGGUAGCAUAAUCACUUGUCUCUUAAAUGGGGACCUGUAUGAACGGCAUCACGAAGAUUUUACUGUCUCCCCUUACCAAUCAGUGAAACUAAUCUCCCUGUGAAAAAGCAGGGGUAUAUAUACAAGACGAGAAGACCCUAUGGAGCUUAAAAUUAGUAACACUUGCUUAUUCUUAUAAACUAUGACCACCUAGCAUUAUGUUUACACAUUUUCGGUUGGGGUGACCCCGGAGAAAAAUUUAACCUCCAUGCUGUAUAUUAAAGAACCUCAAUUCUAAGAAUCAAUAAACUGACACAUUGACCCAAACACUUGAUCAACGAACUAAGUUACCCUAGGGAUAACAGCGCCAUCCACUUCAAGAGUACAUAUCAACAAGUGGGCUUACGACCUCGAUG